UACGUAGGGUGCAAGCGUUAAUCGGAAUUACUGGGCGUAAAGCGUGCGCAGGCGGUUUGGUAAGACAGAUGUGGAAUCCCCGGGCUUAACCUGGGAAUUGCAUUUGUGACUGCCCGGCUAGAGUGUGUCAGAGGGGGGUAGAAUUCCACGUGUAGCAGUGAAAUGCGUAGAGAUGUGGAGGAAUACCGAUGGCGAAGGCAGCCCCCUGGGAUAACACUGACGCUCAUGCACGAAAGCGUGGGGAGCAAACAGG
rnacentral:rRNA from 1 species